AUGGGGCCACACAGACAGAUGAUACUAACGCUGCUCGCCCUGGCGUUUGUGACCUACAUCUGUGAAGCAGCACUUCUCCGGAAGUCUUCUGCAGUGGACUUUCUGAGGUCUGGGCGAGAGAAGCGGGCAGUGAGAUGUCAACAAGGAGGCUGUAGCUCUGAAGACAGUGAGGCAGAAGAACUACUUGAGGCCAACUCAGAUUACGAGCAGGACAACUCAAAGAUGUUCUUUAAUGGUGGAUCACAAGCGGGGGUGCACACGAGGCCUGACGGUGAGCCACAGGGAGAGGGCUCAGGUAUGUAGCCCUGCGGCUCAUGGCUUCAGGCCUGUGAGAGUCCACACAGUGGGGAAGACACAGAAAGCCUGGGGGAAACUCCACUCUACUGCAUCACUGGAUACAAGCACAGGUGCUCAGAACAUGGAAUAAUGUCAGAUGCUAUAAAAAGAUCAUAGAAUGUUUAUAGAGAAUAAAGUCCUGAAGUGUGUUGGAUGCUUAAUUUUG
ensembl:lncRNA